rnacentral:rRNA from 1 species
GGCGCAAGCCUGAUGCAGCGACGCCGCGUGAGGGAUGACGGCCUUCGGGUUGUAAACCUCUUUCAGUAGGGAAGAAGCGAAAGUGACGGUACCUGCAGAAGAAGCACCGGCUAACUACGUGCCAGCAGCCGCGGUAAUACGUAGGGUGCGAGCGUUAUCCGGAAUUAUUGGGCGUAAAGAGCUCGUAGGCGGUUUGUCGCGUCUGUCGUGAAAGUCCGGGGCUUAACCCCGGAUCUGCGGUGGGUACGGGCAGACUAGAGUGCAGUAGGGGAGACUGGAAUUCCUGGUGUAGCGGUGGAAUGCGCAGAUAUCAGGAGGAACACCGAUGGCGAAGGCAGGUCUCUGGGCUGUAACUGACGCUGAGGAGCGAAAGCAUGGGGAGCGAACAGGAUUAGAUACCCUGGUAGUCCAUGCCGUAAACGUUGGGCACUAGGUGUGGGGACCAUUCCACGGUUUCCGCGCCGCAGCUAACGCAUUAAGUGCCCCGCCUGGGGAGUACGGCCGCAAGGCUAAAACUCAAAGGAAUUGACGGGGGCCCGCACAAGCGGCGGAGCAUGCGGAUUAAUUCGAUGCAACGCGAAGAACCUUACCAAGGCUUGACAUGUUCUCGAUCGCCGUAGAGAUACGGUUUCCCCUUUGGGGCGGGUUCACAGGUGGUGCAUGGUUGUCGUCAGCUCGUGUCGUGAGAUGUUGGGUUAAGUCCCGCAACGAGCGCAACCCUCGUUCCAUGUUGCCAGCACGUAGUGGUGGGGACUCAUGGGAGACUGCCGGGGUCAACUCGGAGGAAGGUGAGGACGACGUCAAAUCAUCAUGCCCCUUAUGUCUUGGGCUUCACGCAUGCUACAAUGGCCGGUACAAUGGGUUGCGAUACUGUGAGGUGGAGCUAAUCCCAAAAAGCCGGUCUCAGUUCGGAUUGGGGUCUGCAACUCGACCCCAUGAAGUCGGAGUCGCUAGUAAUCGCAGAUCAGCAACGCUGCGGUGAAUACGUUCCCGGGCCUUGUACACACCGCCCGUCAAGUCACGAAAGUCUGGUAACACCCGAAGCCGGUGGCCUAACCC